CUGCUGCCUCCCGUAGGAGUUUGGUCCGUGUCUCAGUACCAAUGUGGGGGGUUGACCUCUCAGUCCCCCUAUGUAUCGUCGCCUUGGUGAGCCGUUACCUCACCAACUAGCUAAUACAACGCAUGUCCAUCUCUGACCACCUGAGUUUUCAACCACCGAAGAUGCCUCCGGUGAUGUUAUGGGGUAUUAGUACCAAUUUCUCGAUGUUAUCCCCCUGUCAAAGGUAGGUUACAUACGCGUUACGCACCCGUCCGCUGGUCGCCGG
rnacentral:rRNA from 1 species